GCCUCCCGUCUCUUCUACCCGAUCCCCCCCUCCCCCCCAAAGCAGAGAGACCCCAGCAGCAGCAGCAGCUGAUGAUGAAGAGAGAGGCAGUGGCAGAGGGGGGGCACCUUUUAUUUCUAUUUUUAAAGGGACAGGACACUAAUUUUACCCCACUUCAACCUUGAAUUGAGGGGGGGUGGGGGGAAGGCGGCUGAGUUCCUUCCCCCACCCUCCAGCCCUGAGACCUGAGAGGGGGAUUGAGCCAGAGGGAGAAGGAGAAGGAGUUUCUUCUUCUUCGAAAACCCCCAUCUACGACUCCUACCCCUUCACCCCUCCAGUAGCUUCCCUCCCGAGCCCCCCCCCCACCCUCCUCUUUGGCCGCGAGAGAGGAGAGAAAGAGACCAAAAGCCUCUUAGCAACACAGACCCUGCUCUGCUGCUGCUGCUCUGCUGCUGCUGCUGCUGCUGCUUGGCCCUGGCUGGAGACAUCUCACUACACCCAGGAGCAGCCACUUCCCCAGCUCGCCGCCGCCGCCGCCGCCGCCGCCUCCACUCCCCCCUUUAUUACCCUUUGUGUCAUCCUCCACAGCUCCCGGGAAGGCACUCAAAAGUGGGGGGCAGGAAAGAUGUUUAUUGAGAAUAUCAGUUUCUGCAUGUGGGCAGUAGAUAUUGAAGGUUAUAUGGUUUACAGAAAACAUCUUUAAAAGAUAAACACUCAAGGACCAAGGAAAUAAAACACCAGAAGCCCAGAGCACAGAAUAUUUUCCUUCACCAAUUCAUAGAAUCGUGAUACUUCUCUAAUUCCAUCAAAUACAAAGGAAUGACCACCUUGGCAGAUGGCCACAGAGGAUGUCAACAGUUUUUUGGAG